rnacentral:rRNA from 1 species
UGUCAACUUUNCGGCAAGGGUCCAAUUCGGGCCCCAAAAGNGUANANCCAAUGGAUUGGUGGAUGCGCGCCAAAUGCCGGGUCUUAAGGCUAAUUGCGAACGUGGGAGGCAUAAUGGCGCCACGACCGUGCCUCAUCGGCCAGAAGAAAACUCUCAUUGCAGUUAGGGACUUCCAUAAUUUAAGUCUUCGGAAGGAGGAGCGACUUUCACGAAAUGUUGGGCUUUUCGGAAGAAGUGUGUGCGCCGUACCGACCUAGUCCCAACGGGGGUAACAGGUUAUAAGGGGUGACGACGGAGGGCAUCCUCAAGCCCGGCACAGAGUCAGGGCUACACCGACUAGUAGGAGAGUCUGGUCGAUGCCUAGCAGCGGAACCAUCCGGAAAUGGGGUGGUUGAUCGAUUAGGCUGAAUCCGAGUAGGUCAUCGCGUUCCAGGCUUCUAGGGGACGAAAGAGGGCAUCCUGCAUACGCCAUAAUUAGGCCCAAAGGGGCCCGAUAGGGGGUGAUGACCCGUCUAAGGGAUUCGUAAUGAGUGGGCAGGCGGCCGAGCAGUCGCCCCACGUUCGUGGGGGGACAAUGGCGAAGCUGAACGUACACAAUUCGGACGGCGGUCGCNUAAGUUAGACUUCGGUCCCUA